rnacentral:lncRNA from 1 species
GUUCUCGAUUGGUAGGUAGGUAAAAGAGCAGAGCAAACGCAAGCCACCUCUAAGCCUUCUGGUUGUAGACGUAGGUGAGGCCGCACUUGCCGCAGUAGUGGCGGUCGAAGUGGUUGGCCAUGAAGGUGCCGGCGCCGCAGUCGGCGUUGGGGCACUCCUUCCUGAGCCUGGUGACCUUGCCGGUGGCGUCGUCGACCUUGUAGAACUGGAGGACGGCGAGCUUCACCUUCUUGUGCUUGUGCUUUUGCUUCUUGGGCUUGGUGUAGGUCUUCUUCUUGCGCUUCUUGGCGCCUCCGCGGAGGCGGAGCACCAGGUGGAGGGUGGACUCCUUCUGGAUGUUGUAGUCGGCGAGGGUGCGGCCGUCCUCGAGCUGCUUACCGGCGAAGAUGAGGCGCUGCUGGUCCGGCGGGAUGCCCUCCUUGUCCUGGAUCUUGGCCUUGACGUUGUCGAUGGUGUCCGAGGACUCCACCUCCAGCGUGAUGGUCUUGCCCGUCAGGGUCUUCACGAAGAUCUGCAUCUUGGCGGCGGCGCGAGGUCGCCUCCGCGCGCUGCGGCGGCGACGGUGGCGGCGGGGUAGGGUUUGGGUUGGGGGCGGAGUGGAUGCUAGGGUUUGUGGGGCGUGGAACGGCCUAGCUUUAUAGCUGGGGGGUUUCGGAUCGGGCGUCUGGGCUCCGUGGACGGUACUUUUGGGCCGGGCUGUGGAUUGACUUCGCUUGUGUGGGCCAUUUCAUGUGGGCUUUGACUCCAGGAUUUCCACCUGUCAAUGGGAAGGGAAAUUCAAAUGUUGAAGCCCACAGGCUAGCUCGAUCAUUUUUUCGUAGUAAUAUUGGCCGAUAUAUUCGGCUCUUUGUUAUUUGAUGUAAGCAUUUUCUCAAAAAGAAAAUGAUGUAAGCAGGGGUACUGCACCUCAGAAAAAAGAAUUGUUGUUAUCCCUCAAAAGAAGUUCAUUUUAUAGUCCAUCCCUCCUAAAAAUCAUUUUAUUGUCCUAAAAUAUUGUUUACAUUUUAUAUCUCCAUAUUAGAGGCCAAAAAAAUCAUUCAAGGGAAUUCAUUUCUACUGUAUUUCCUAAAGGAAAAGGGGUUUCAUUUCUCUCAGAGGAGAUGAUUUCUCACGACUAUGCUUUAACAUCUUUUUGAAUGUUUAAAUUCGGCAGAAAUUCAUUCAUUCGAUCAGGAAAAUCAACUGAUGGAAAAGCGCAAUCUGCAGUUUCAAUUUCGGUUGGUUCUUUUGCUUUGCACUACAACUUAAAUUAACCGCACAACAAUGUUCGGAUCAUCCAUUCAUUCUAUGUACAUUCAGACUGGCAAUUCUCAUCAAUCAUCCAUCACCCAAGACGAGCUACGACGGCAUCGCCAAGAUCAUGAGAUGUAAGCCUUGACGAGCUCGGUGUAGUUGCAGACUUCUCCUGUCCUUGGGCAUGUGAUCUUGCCCCCGUUCUUCUUGGCCAUCUCAUCAAGGGCCUGGGGUUUGCAACACCGCACAACACAAGCAGCCAUCUAAGUUCUGGAUUCAGUGUGAAUAGUUGAGGUAUUAAGAUUUGAGUCGGAUCGGUGCAUACCUUGGUGCUAUAAACGUAGCCGUUGGGCAGGACGAGCGGUGGAUUCUCGGUGUCCAUGAGCUCCUUGGUUAUGUGGCAGACAAGCUUCGAGUGGUGCUGCUUUGAGAAGGGCAGCGGCUCUGCGAGUUUCCGGAAGCCGUCCAGCGACAAGGGGUCUUCUUUGGGGCAGUUCCCCUCGAAGCAGAAUCUUUGCAAGGUCAAGGAGGGUAAACAAGAUAUCGUGGUUAUGUUACUACAGAUUUAGAGUAUGGUCACCAGUGAAAAAGAAAAGAGAAGCAUCAAUCAUGUAAAGGAUACGGAGUCUUGAGAGCUGUCAGGCCUGCUUGCAGGUAAAUGUUCAGCAACGGCUCAAGCGUCAUACCAUAUAGUUUGUAGAAUUCUUGCUUAAACUGAUCCACAAGAAAAUCCCACUGAUUUUGCUCAAAUAAGACCUGCGAGUAAAACAGACGGCAUUAGCAAGGUGCCCAAAUUUCCAUUGAUGCUUAAGCACCAACAUCUUAGUCCAGCUGCUAUCAUAUUUCUGAUGCAGGCACAACAAAACAAGACGACAUAGACAAUGCUGCUAACCUUGUAAGAAACACAGUUUGUGGUGCUUCUAAAAACCAGUGUUGCUGUAACACGCUGCAAUUCUUUCAUGUGGGUAGACCCCCAGGGAGCAAGGUAUUUCCGAGCAUAUGAUAUAGCCUGCAGGAAGUUCUUAGCCUUGACUAGUUCCACAAACUCCUGAAGCCUCAGUAAAAACUCAAGCUUACUCUGCAGGGUAAACAACAGGGUGAACAACAAAAGACACUGAUAUACCCGAACAAAAUUAAGUGUUGAGACAAAGAAGGUGCUAUAUGGCGGCCAGAAGCUAGCAAAAUCUGGUUUCGUUCUAUUUUACAUAUGGAAAAAUGUAAAGAGGAAGACUGAUGCCUCGCUCGCGUACUAUGCAUCCUCCCAUAAUGGUUAACCUUUUUUUCUCUAGACUUGGAUGCUUUCACGCAUGAAGAGGUGUAACAAAUUACCUACAUUCUCCGAUUUGGAGUAUAAAGGCAGACAUUUCACAACAUUCAUGCCACAAUAUUAUAAUUACUGAGAUUAUCUGUACCCGCAUAAAGUGACUAAGUUACAAAGGUGAAUAAUUUCAACAAGCAACCGACAUGAUUGAUGAGCUAUCAGCAUUAUCAUUGGUAAAGAUCAAUGCAAGCAUCCCAUUCCCCAGUGCUUUAUCAUAUGGACAGAUUCUUUACUCCAUCUCACUGCUAUAUGAACGGCAUACAUCAACAAUGAAAUAGCACAAGUAACACAAACCUUUGAUUUCUUUAACCGGGAUUUAUUUUCUGCACACCAAGCUAAAGCAGGAGCUAUUUCCUUAUUCCGAAGAGAAUCAAUCACUCUUUUUGCAUCUAGAAAGACAUCAAUAUCAACAAGGUCCUGCAUAUAAACAGUUGAAUGGUUAGGUUCCGAACAAAAGAGUAUCUGCAACUGUAGAUAAAGGCAGUAGGUUCUAUCUUGUGACAUCAUGAUUCGACAGAUAACAACUCUAUCGUUAUGAUAAUCACAAAAGGCAUUUAGAACUGAUACAGAGCAAAUCUUAUUUUAGAGCAUCUCCAACCGGACUGGCUAAUUUGAACCCGCAUAUGUCUGCAGAUGCAUCCAGGUAGUGUCCAUGAACAUGCCAAAGGAACUCCAUUCGUCCCCGCAUGCGAUACCCCCAUUUGUCCCCCAAAUUGUCCGGACAAAGGCACGUGACUGGUGGGAAUGGAAAGAGCAAGAGGAGAGAAAGAAAAAUGAGAGAGAGAAAGUGGUCCAGGGUGGGCCGGGCCCAACGUGGCGGGUUUUCCGGACACCGUCAUUUCCUCCCCACAUAUGGACUGGGUUUGGGGAUUUGCCGACAGCCUGGACGUAUGGGAAAGAUUUGGGGGCCUCCGUUGGAGAGGCUUUUUUUCCGGGCACUGACCAGGCUGUCCGCACGGACAUGGGGACAAUUUGGGGGUCGGGUUGGAGAUGCACUUAUCUUCUUGUUUAGGUGAUGCAUCAAAACCACAAAGCAACAUGCCAACAUGGUCUACUGGCAUAUAAAUCACACAAUAGCACACAAAGCAGAAUGUCAGGAAUAUAGCUGGACAACUCAAUGAUAAAUGGUAAGUGCAGAAGGAAGAGAAAUUAAACUAAGGCCCUGUUUGGAACCACCUAGAUUAUAUAAUCCAGUUUUUAUAAUCUAUUAUGUUUCCAAACAGAACAACUUAUAGUGUAGAUUAUAAAAACUAGAUGGAUAGAUUAUUAAAAACUCAUAAUCUACUCUAUACCAGCUAAAAUCAGAUUAUGGAUUGCUAAUGACCCAUUACCCUUGUAAAGUUGGAGAUAAUAACAUUUCUACCACCGCUACCCUCCUCUUUUAAAAAAAACAGAGGGUAGAUAGGUCAUUAUGCAAUGUAAAACCUGGAUUACAGUUUAUAUAAUCUGGCCUCCAAACAUGUUCACCUAGAUUAUUUUUAUAAACCAGAUUAUAUAAUUUAUCUUCAUAAUCCAGAUUAUCAUAAUCUAUUAUGGUUCCAAACAGGGCCAAAGCCAUCCCCAUUACGCAUACUUUCAAUAAAACCUUCCAAACAAAUGAAAGCAGAAACUGUGAUGUAGCAGCAUAAAUAGACAUAACACAACCCAACUGUCUUUGACCAACUGUCCUCAAAAAAGGUAUUGCAAGCCUAUAGUGCAAUAAGAAACCGAUAAAAUCUAGGAGGGAGGUUAUGUGGAACCCUUAGAAAACCAAAAGCACAACGCAGAAUGUCAGGAUUAUAGCUGGACAACUCAAUAGUAAUGGUAAGUGCAAAAGGAAGAGAUUAAAUUAUGCCAUCUCCAUUACACACAAUUUGCACAAAACCAUCCAAGCAAAUGAAAGCAGAAUCCGUAACAGUCUUGCUAAAUCUCAGUGGACCGAGACUUGGUUAUGUCUCAGUCGAUGCUAUAUUCGUAAGAUCUUACACUAAGUUCCGUACAUUUUUUUCUUUUUCUUUCUUACAUGCUAUUUCAGUUGACUCAAACUUUGUUAAGACUCAGUCCACUGAGACAUAACCACACCCAAUCUGUAAUGUAGAAGACUAAAUAGACAUAACACAACCCAACUGUCUUCGAAGAAAGGCAUUGCAAGCCUGUAGAGCAAUAAGAAACCGGUAAAAUCUACUUACAUUAUGGGACGGAGGGAGUACUUAAUUAGGAGGGAGGUUAGUGGGACCCUUAGAAGAUCAAAACUCGACUGGGGUAGAUUCAUGCAGCUAGUCAAGAUAUCAGUUAAAUACAUAAUACUCGACCUACUAGGCACCAGCACCCAGUGGCAUUGCUUAAAGAGGAAGGACCAAGAUACCAGUAAAUGAUUCACUCUGCAGAAUAAAUUCCUCACGGGAGACGAACCCUAGUGGGUUAGUGUCAGCGCACCCCCACCAACAGAGGGACACUUGAUCCCCAGCCAAAUACAGAGAAUAACACCACCAGUUGAAGGAGUACCCAUGGAAAUGAAGUUGGUUCGAAGACUCUUCGAUUUUAUUUGGGCUUUAAGUGAUAUGUACUUCCAUUAGAAUGAGGAGCAAUCCCUACGCUAUUUUCUUAAAUGCAGAUCAAAAUUAUAUGCUAGCCAGUCUAGUAUCCGUCUACUCACGAAAUGUGUAGUGAGGCAACCCUCUUACACAGCCGAUCCUAGGAUAACCGUACAACAUAAAACGCAUGCAACUUCACUGCUGACAAAGAACACAGAAAGGUCCAAAGACAACACCAUGUCACACGCCCUAGAACACCUAAGCUCCACGACAACGCCCUCAGGAGGGAAAUGGCGCACAGCAUCGCCGCUGCCAAGCCCUAAACAGACAGGGGUCUUCACCCAGAACCCUGAUACGGAGAGGAGAACCACAACUACUUUCACAUAAGGAUAGCAGCACCGGCAGGCCAAAGCGCGGAGCUUUCGCUCGGCAACUCACCCGUGCCAAAACAAUGCAUCCAGAGCAGCCGAGACUGCUUGCUGUUGCCAUAUAACAUAUUAAUAUAUUAUCCUCAAACAACCAUGAUUUUUCUUGGUAAAAUAGACAUCAACGCACAUCCGCUGCCAGGUUCUGUUCACCCUAGUCACAGUUUGCAUAGUUCUACUUUCCUAAAUAGUAGAAGCAUGUAGCUACAUGAAUCGAGCAAUCAACCAGAAUCCCUUGUUGGGGUGCCCUUCUUGCACCAUUCUUAUACCUGAAUGCCAGAGGUUUCCGCGAGCUUGGUGGCGGUGUCGUAGUAGGACAUCCGGAGCAUGUAAUCAACUAGGAUGCGCUUCAGCCGUAUGUCCUCCCACUCGGCGUCGUCACCGGCGCUGGCGGCAGCCAGCCGGUCCAGCCGCGCACGACACCUCUGCACCUGGAGCUCCUCCGCCCUCGCACCCUCCUCCAUCUGAAGGUCAUCAUCAGGAACCAAUUUGUCAGCAAAUGGAACAACAAAAGGAACACGAUCUUUGCAGUACAAUCGAGAAGCACGAACUGAUUAGCUAGAAAGUUGGGAUCUUUUCUGAGCGAGAGAUGGGAGGAUGUGUGUGGGAUUUUGGGGGACAGUGCCUUGCGCUUGAGGCCGUGGAGGCGGGAGACGAGGGAGGUGAGGUGUUCGACGGCGGCGGCAGAGCCGCUUUCUCCGGGGGCAACGGAGGCCGAGGAGGCCGAGGAGAGGACGGCGGCGAUCUCCUUCUCGGCGAGUCGGUGGUUGGUGCGGGCGGUGGCCCUGAGGGCCUCCAGGGGCACGCGCACCAGCUGGUGCUCGAGCCGCACCGACUCCGCCGCGCGCGUCUGUCUCCCCGCCGCCGCCGACGGAGCCGGCGAGACGGACGGCGACGGCGAUGGUGUGUCGAUGGCCAUCUCCAUCUUUCUUUCUUUUUUUUUUCUUCCUCUCGCUCUGCUGUGACUCACACCGAGAAACAGGGGGGAUGGGUUGUGGAUUUGCUGGAGAAUAAAUAAAAAGAGGCCGGCAGAGAAGAGUGAUGCUGUCCGGACACUGAUGUGACCUUGUUUUGUUUUUUUGGCUUAAUUAUUGCAGGUCCAAUGCUUGUGCUACCCUAAGAUAAAGCAAAAAGAGAGGACUACUGUGAAAUGGAGUAGUAGGUAAAUUAUAUGUCAUGUUUGGAAGGUAAGAUUGUGAAAGAUCAUUGUAGACAUUAGUGUUUGUUUGAAGGUUAUACUAAUAUAUCAUUGACGGAUGGGUAGAAACCCACGAGUUUUCCUAGGGUUCCGACCUAGGGUUCUCCAGCCCUCCCAACGAUGCGUCGUCAUGAGUUUCCUUAUGCGACGCUAUGACCGAUCGACCCCCCUUGACUCAGCUCGCCCCUCCAUUGCCUCCUAGGCUAACUUUCGCCUUAGUUUGUGACUCACGUGGCUUGGGUUUGGGGCUUUGAAGACAGUUCAAGAUAGUUCGGUCGGGGGCUAUGGCAAAUUCGACGGGAGGAUUUGGCUCAUGGGGCUUGGGACGAAAAUCUAAGUAAACUUUUAGAAAGACUGCAUCUGCAUGAUGAGGAGAUUGAUGACCUUAUCUGGGAGGAUGAGGUGGAUGCAACACAAGAGAAGCCCUAGUCGAUCGUGCUGGCCAAAUUGUUUGUCAAAACAAGUUUUAGCCAUAGUAUGUUGAUCGCUGAUAUGAUGCCAAUAUGGAAUCCGGCUCAAGAUGUCGUGUUGAGGAGAAUUAAUCCAAAUCUAUUCUUGAUACAAUUUCACUGCUUGGCUGACCGGAACAAAGUUAUGCAUAUGGACCAUAUGAUUUCAAGGGAUUCGCUCUGUUGUUCGCUAAAUAUGAUGGCUUUACAAACCCAGAGAAGGUCAAGUUGGAUCGGUUGGAGACAUGGUGACAAAUUCACAAGCUUCCGAGUGGGUUUCUAAAAAAUAAGUCUUUCCUGGAAAACAUGGCAAAACAUAUACGGGAAGUGCAAGAGGUUCAUAUUACUCUCUAAUGGAUUUGUGUCCGAAUUCAUCCGUAUCAAAGUGAGACAUGAUGUAAAGUAAAUGACCUAUUGUGUCACCGGCGCAGAGACCAACUAUGGCCAGGAAGUUAAGCAAGCUAUGGGUGGCAUGUAUAGCGAACGUUCAUUUUAUGAAUUACCCGAGAGAGCGUUGUCAAGUGUACAUACGGGAACACCAAGAAACAAUGACAAGGUUAACAAACAGGCUUAACUACCCCUAGAUCAUGUCAAUCGUUUGUUCGUAUAGGCGGCAAUUAGACAUGACCUUGGCGUCGAAAAUACUAGAGGUGAAGUUGAUCUCGGUGGCAAUGUGAUGGAGAUAAAUCCGACGGAUCUUGGGGUAGGAAUUGUUGACUCCCGUAGGAGUUCUUUGGUUUCCCUAAAGAAAAAGGAUGAAGUAAAACAUCAGCAAAGUAAUUCCCUCAGUUAGAAAACCAAGAUUAUCAAUCUAGUAGGAGUCACCCAAGCUAACAAUGUAAGCAAUACAUGUGCACAAACAAUUACAAACUCGCACCCAAUAUGGGAGGGGGUUGUCAAACCCUUGUCUUGCUAGUUACAAGAUUAAAAGCGAAUAACAUAGAUAGAUAGUAGCAAAGUGGAACGACAAAUAAAAGGAUAAAUUCUGUAGAAGAAUUUGUUACUGGAGAAUAGAGUCGCGGGGCAUAGGUUCACUAGUGGCAUCUCUCUUGAAAACAUAUGAAUGACAUGGUAAACAAACUACAGUUGGGCAACUGAACAUAUUGCAAUAUUUAUGACUAUGAUCAUUCAUAACAUAAUCUCAUAUAGGCAUUACGUCGGUGGUAAGUAGACCGUUAAUCGAACUACAUCUACUACUAAUACUUCACCCCAAAAUCUCUAUCUAGCAUGCAUAUCAAGGUAUCAAGUUUGCAAGAAAUAGAGUAUCACAGUAAGUAAGAUGGCAUAAUAUAGAGAGGAAGAAAUCAAUCAAUAUGAAAAAUAUGUAGUUUUAUCAUUGGUGGCAACAAUACAAUAUGUGUCUUGGACCUUAAUGUCACUGGGUUAGAGCACGACAAGGUUGAACACACUACAAAAGCACAACUCUUUGAAGAAAAGCCCAUUGAACUUGGCCAAAGAAGAUAGUAGAUCAGACAUCAUACAAAGAUAUUUGAUUAUGCAACAACAAAGGCUCAAAAGAUUCAAUUCAUUUCAAUAAACAAUUUGAUCAUAAAGUGAAAAUUCAUCAUGUCCCAACAAACACACCACCGAUUACAUGGAAUGAUCCUGACCGUGUAAGAAGGCUCACGGGAACAUGGUAUCAAAUAUCCAAAAAGAGAUAGAACCAUCUAGCUACUAUUAUAAACCUAUAGGUCCUAGGGAAACUACUCACAUGUGGUCAUGAACGCAACAUGGUUGAUGGAUAUGGCUCCGACAAUGGCUUCACCCUCAUGUAGGGCUCUAGAACAGGCCUCCAAGUGGGAUCUUAGCGGAACAAGAACUUGAAGUGUGAUACGUCCCCAAUGUAUCGAUAAUUUGUGAAGUAUUCAUGCCAUGUUUACAACAUUUUUACAUGGUUUUGAUGCACUUUUAUAUGGUUUGAAUGAAACUAAUCCGGACGAACGUUGUUUUCAGCAAAACUGCCAUGGUGUUAGUUUUGUGCAAAAAUAAAAGUUAUGAAUUGGGUUGAAACUUUAUGGUGAUUUUUUAUGAACAAAAGAGACCCCCCGAAGCUUCAUGGAAGGACCAGGCGAAUUCCAAGGGGGCGACAAGCUCGGGGCACUCCUGGGGGUAGGGUGUGUGCUGCAAGCUCGUCGCCCCACGUGGGCCCCCCUUGAUGUGAAACAUAGGACAAAAAAUCCUAUGAAUACCAAAAAAAACUUCCGCUCCAUGGCCGCAAGCCUCUGUUGAGCAAUCUCAUUCGUAGCCCUUUUCCGACACCCUGUCGGAGAUGGGGGAUCAUCACCAGAGGCCAUCUUCAUCAUCCCGACAGUCUCCUUGUCAAGGAGGGAGUAGUUUCCCCUCGGGCCUGAGGGUAUGUACCAGUAGCUAUGUGUUUGAUCUCUCUUUCUCUCUCUUUCUCGUGUUCUUGAUGUGGAACGAUCUUGAUGUACCACGAGAUUUGUUAAUAUAGUGAUCAUAUGGUGUUCUUCCCUCUCUAUGUUGUGAUGAAUUGAGUCUUUCCCUCUAAGGUUUCGUUAUGUUGGAUUGAAUACUUUGGAUCUGAGAACACUUGAUGUAUGUCUUGCAUGCGGAUAUCCAUGGUGACAAUAGGGUAUUCUAUUGAGUCACUUGAUAUAUGUUUUGGUAAUCAACUUGCGGAUUCUCUUGGUGACAUUAGAGCAAUAUAUGCACAUGGGUUGGUACACGCUUUCAUCCUACUUUCUUCGGGGUACUCUUUGAGGUUCUUUAUGUGGAUUGAAUGUGAUGAAUCUAAAAUUGUUUGAUGCAUGUUAAAUAAUCAACUCACGGAUACUUGUGGUGACAUUGGAGUAUCUAGGCGACAUUAGAGUUGGUCGAUGCAUACCGUAGGUGUUAUUCUAGUACGAACUCUUGGGUUGUUUGUGACACUUAUAGGGAUGGUGACACUUGUGAUCUGCAUUGGUUUUUUACCCGAAGAGGAGGGGGUGAUGCAACACAAUAUAGAUAAGUAUUUCCCUCAGUGAGAACCUGUGACAACCCGAGAUCGACGUUCCAGAAGAUUCCCCUUCUAUUCUGUUUCCGUCGUGUGAUUAUUUUUAUUUGUCGUAUCAUCAUCGCAUCAUGCGCAUCAUCCGCAUUGCAUCGGCAUCCCGUUGCCGCCAGUUUUCAAACUUGCAUCCGUUAUUAGUUGUCGGUUCUCGUCGUUGUCCGUUCUGAGCUCGACCGCACUCGCACGCGCCCGCGACAUCGUUAAACCUGUUUUUAAAAGUGUGUGUAAAAUAUUCUCUGAUUGAGUUGAAACUUGGCGUGCGGUAUAAAUUAAUUAUAGGUAGGCCGCCUAUCAAAUUUCGUCGCAAUCGGAGUCCGUCUGGUACCCGAACGGUCGACCGUAGCGGCACCGUAUUCGGUCUAUCGUCGGACAUCUUUCGGUGUUUUAAAUCUCGUUGUCGGGCCGCCCGUUUUCCCUCUCGUCUCCGGAUAACUACUCUACAUGGCCACUUAACCGUCCUCACGUUCGAGAUUAUUCGAUUCUGACCGCGCGGUUGGAUCCGGGACGAAAUUCCGCUAAACCUACCCCCCCCCUUUGUCUAUAAAUAGACCUCCCGAGGCAUUUUAGACAGCAAACCCUAGCCGCCUCGGGGUCCGCGCCCCACCUACCCCCAGCAGUCGCCUGUUGGGGAACGUCGCAUGGGAAACAAAAAAUUUCCUACGCGCACGAAGACCUAUCAUGGUGAUGUCCAUCUACGAGAGGGGAUGAGUGAUNNNNNNNNNNNNNNNNNNNNNNNNNNNNNNNNNNNNNNNNNNNNNNNNNNNNNNNNNNNNNNNNNNNNNNNGACUAUCUUUGAUCAACUGGCUAGCCAACUAGAGGCUUGCUAGGGACAGUGUUUUGUCUAUGUAUCCACACAUGUAAAUGAGUCUUCAUUCAAUACAAUUAUAGCAUGGAUAAUAAACGAUUAUCUUGAUACAGGAAUUAUAAUAAUAACUAUAUUUAUUAUUGCCUCUAGGGCAUAAUUCCAACACCGCCACCUCCAGCCUCUCCCCUCCUCUCCUCUCAUGGGCCCGCCAGGCCCAGAUCGGGCCCGGCCGAGCCCAUCGCGCCGCCGCCUCUCCGGCCUCAUCCCGCGGCUCCCGAGAGCCACAGCUCACUAGCCGCCCCGCGUCUCCCGUCGCAGCCUCCUCAUGCGGCCCCGGUCGCCGUCCGCGCUGGAUGCAGGUCGCCGCCGCCUCGCCGGAGGUCCGUCCUCGUCGGCCGUCGUGCCCCACCGCCGGCAGAAGCUCGCUGGAGCAGGCAGGCCCACCAUGGCGCGCCUCCCGUCGCCCGGUUCCCCGCCCCGCGCCUCCCGUCGCGCCGGCCUGAGGCCGCAGCCCCGCUGGCGGAUCCCGACGGCUCCGUCACCCUGGAGCUCGCCGCCGUCGUGCCCUCACCUCGAUCGAUCGAGAGGACGAGGCUUCGCCCCGAGCGCCUUUUGGUUAUGUUGCGCCCAUCAUAUUUCGGCCCAUUUAGAUUUUCGGUUCCUGUGAAUUAAUUAUUUUCAGGAUAUAUUAGAUAUUUUAAACGCCCGUAGUUUAAUAAUCGUGCAUCGAAUUGCGAUGAUUUAGAUAUGUAUAUCGUGUAAAAUUUCGCGUAGAUUUCGAAUUUACAACUUGCAUAAAUGUUUGAAGUAGUUUGCCGUGUCAAAUGCCUAGUUUUGCAUGCUGUCCCAAUAGGGAAGUGCCCCGCAAUUAUUUUCGCGCAUGUCCGGAUUGCUAGAACCCCGUAGGUAAAAUGCUCAUGUUUUAGGAACCCUUUUGCCAUGUAUUUUAGAGCAGUCGUUGGUAUUUUUGCGUGUAGGAUUCCAUAGCUAGUUUGCUAUACCGUGUUUAGGAUAUUAUCUCGCAUAUACGUGUGGCGAUAUACUUGUGUUGCAACCCCACAUGUUUUAUAUGUUUUCGGGGUAGAAAAAUCCAUAGGAUUUUUUUGUGCAUUUAGUUUUAGCUUCUGAGAAAGUUAGUUCGCGUGAUAUUUUGCAUGUUGCCCUUUUGUUUAUUUUCUAGGAUUUAUUCCGUGCUAGUUAUGAUUAAGUUGUCAACUAGAGAGUUGCUCUUAGAUGUUUAGUCUAGUCCCUGGUAAUGUUGGUUGCAAUAGAAAUCCAUGUUUAGGUGUGGUUUGAUUGUUCUUUACUUGCUAGGAAGUAGUGUUGUUUUAGAGAUGUUGAAAUAUUUCUAAGUCUGAAAUCUGCUAUAUUUUGUUGUUGUCUUGUCUUGAUUCUAUCUCGUGAUCUGUAGCCCUUUUGAGGUUGGUGCAAUGGAGUUAGUUGUAGACUUUAGGAUUCUCUAGCAUGCUGUCAAUUUUCAUGCCAUUUGGAGUCAUGUAGCUUAUGGUUUUGCUGCUGUCAAUAUGCCUUCAGAUCGAAAAUUGUUGUUUCAUAAACUGUUAUUUUCACUAAGUCUGAAACUGUGUGUGAGAUUCCCUUUUGUGACUUCUUUUCCUAGUGUUCCAUGCUUCCAUGUUAGGUGUUGUUAGUUGUAUGUUGUAGUGCUUCUUGCCCUCUAUCGUCUCAUGCCUUGGUUGAGCAUAUUGGAUUUGUGUAGCUCGUAGUUGUGGGGUGUAGAAAAUGCUAUGUGGCUGAUUUUGGCAGAUUGUAGUGAUUUCUUGUUUUGCUCGUAGUUGUUGAACCGUUGCUCCGUUUUGAUCGUGUCCUAUAUGAAACUAGCUUAGAAUCUCGUGUAGUUUCAUAUUAUCUUGUUAGUUGUGUGUUUUGAGAUGCUUGUGACCGUCGUUGCACAUAUUUUGCAUUCAUGCCAUCAUAUCUUGCGGUGCUUGUAUCUUUUGAACCGUAGCUCCGUUGGAGAUGUUCUCUAUGUGUAAAUUGCUUGUAACAACGCGUAUAAUCACGUGAACCUAUUUGUUUUGCUGUUUAACAAACUUUUAAACGUGUUAGUUCAGAUCUGGACAGAAUUAUAUAUUAACGUAUGAGGUCAUCUCGGAGAUGCUAUAUGUCAUUUCUGGCCUCAUUUAAAAUAUCUAGAUAGGUAGUUUAAUUACGCUUCACCUCUUGCCAUGUGUAAACACAUUUAAUAUUGUCGUGUACCUAAUCGGAAUAGAACUAAAUAAUUCAUAUGUGGAGUUUCGUCAAUAUGCAACUUGUUGCAUAUUGAACUUCACUUAAUGUGUAGUAUUUGGUUGUUGUGAAUUGGCAUGCCGUGUCUUGCAUAUGUCCAACCGCUCAUGCAUCAUAUGUGUUGUGCAUCGUGUGGUGAAUAUCGUGUGUUGAUUCCUGUUUCCGGUUUCCUUCAUCUCGAUAGAGUUCCGCAAGCGUGUCGGAAAGUGAGGACCCGUUCGACUACAUCGGUUCAUCUGCUUCACGGAGUCAUUCUUCUUCCAAGAGGGAUCUCAGGCAAGAUGACCAUUUCCCCAGAUACCAUUACUAUCAUUGCCAUGCUAGUAUUAUCGUUUCUGUCGCUAUGUCUCGUUGCCUACCACCUGUUAAAUAUCAGCCUCCCAACAUUGCCAUGAAAACCUUUAACCUGUUCACCACCUAGCAAACCACUGAUUGGCUAUGUUACCGCUUGCUUAACCAUGUGUUAGCGUUGCUAGUUGCAGGUGCAGGUUCUUCCAUGCGACAACAUGGGUUCCUUGUUAUAUCACCAUAUUAAAUACUAUUUAUUUAAUGCACCUAUAUACUUGGUAAAAGGUGGAAGGCUUGGCCUUUCUAGCCUAGUGUUUUGUUCCACCUUUGCCCCCUUAGUUUCGACUACCGGUGUUCUGUUCCAUAAUUGAGCGCUCCUAACACGAUCAGGGUUGUUAUGGGGACCCCCUUGAUAAUUGGUUUUAGAAUAAAGCUGGUCUGGCAAGGCCCAACAUUGGUACUACAUUUUCCCAACAUAAUAAUUUUGUUAAUACUGUAAGCAUAGGGUGUCAUGAACCCGAGGAGUAAUUUACAUAAUACAGGGAGGGCCAGUGCUGGUCCAAAACAGAGCAUUGUGCGGGGCCAACCCAGGGCAACUUGGGAGAUUUCUAUCAGGCCACCGUACGUGUCGCUCAUCCGUCGUGUCCUGAGAACGAGAUACGCGGCUCCUAUCGGGAUCGUCGACACGCCAGGUGGCCUUGCUGGAUUAGUUUUACCUUUGAUGAGAUAUAUUGUGCAUCGGGAUUCCUGUGAUGCUUUGGGUAAUCUCAGAGUUGAGAUUUUCCACUAAGGAGUCAGACGAGAUCGCGAGCUUCGUGAUCGAGGAUUUCUAUGCGGCUUGUGGUAAUUUGUGAUGGAUUAGUUGGAGCACCAUGCAGGGUUAAAUCUUUCAGAAAGUCACGCCCGCGGUUAUGUGGCAACGUGGAAAGUUUGUUUAACACUGGUUUUAGACAACUUGAAGUUAACUUAAUUAAAAUAUGCCAACUGAGUGUGUAACCGUGACUGUCUCUUUCGUGAGUUCCUUCUCCGAUCGAGGACACGGUGGGGUUAUGUGUGAUGUAAUUAGGUGUUCAGGAUCAUUCAUUUGAUCAUCAGUAGUCACGUACGCUACGCGUAGAUCAUCCCCCUCUUUAUUCUUGUACUCGUAAGUUAGCCACCAAAUAAAUGCUUAGUCGUUGCUACAACCUCACCACUUAACCCUACCUCACCUAUUAAGCUUUGCUAGUCUUGAUACCUUUGGAAAUGAGAUUGCUGAGUCCCCUGUGGCUCACAGAUUACUACAACACCAGUUGCAGGUACAGGUAAAGGUUACUUGACGCGAGCGCGUUGAUUGUUCAUUUGGAGUUGCUUCUUCUUCUUCUUCUUCAAUAUAGGAUGGGUUCCAGGCCGGCAGCCUGGGAUAGCAAGGAUGGACGUCGUUCUUCUUUUCUCGUUUGUUUUCGUUCGUAGUCGAACCCUGCUCUUCUUCAUGAUGUUUAUGUAUUGUACUGAUGUGACUCUGAUGUAGCCUGUGGCGAGUGUAAGCCAAUUCCAUAUAUCUCAUCUUUUCAGUACACGUACUUGUAACGAUAUCCAUUCUUGCGAAACGACGAGAUGCGCUUCUAUCCCUGACGAGGCCCUCGUGCCAAAUUGAGGAUAGGAUCGCAUCUUGGGCGUUACAAAACCAAUGUUAUCGAACCAAUAGGAGAACUACACAAUUUCCCGUCUUGAGCUCCUACAUACAAAAGUGCACACACUUGCACCCAACGCGGCAAGAGGGUUGUCAAUCCCCUUUAACCUGUUACUUGCAAGCGAUAAGUAGUGGUAGAUAGAUAGUUUGAUAAAUAUAAAUAGAAGAUAAAUAAAAAGUAAAUAAGAACAACAAGGUAAUUGUAUUUUUUGUAAAUAUAUUUGUGAAUAGACCCCGAGGCCAUAGUUUUCGUUGGAGGCUUCUCACUCGAAGAAAGCAUGCGAUGGGUAAACAAAUUACUGUUGGGAAAUUGAUAGAAAAGUGCAUAGUUGUGCAAUAUUUAUUCAUGUCAAUGAUCAUUACGCAUAGAUAUCACAUCUGUAAACAGGUAGACCGACUCUUGUCUGCAUCUACUACUAUUACUCCACUCAUAGACUGCUAUCCAGCAUGCAUCUAGAGUAUUAAGUAAAAACAGAGUAACUCUUGGAGGAGGAUGACAUGAUGUAGAGAAAGUAAAUCCAAUUAAUAUGAAUGAAACCCAUCGUUUUACCCUUAGUGGCAUCAAUACAAUACGUGUCAUGUCCCUUUGUGUCACUGGAAUUGAGCACCUCAAGAUUGAACCCACUAUAACUCACCACUCCCUCUGAAGAUAAAUCAAUCUAGUUGGCGAAACCAUACCGAUAGAUGGAGAGAAUUACAAAACUAUCAUAAUCAUGCAUAUAUGUGAAAGGUCAGCAAGGAACUCAAUAUAAUCUCAUGAAUAAUCUGAACAUAAACCCACAAAUCAUCGGAUCCCAACAAACGCAGCGCACAAAAGUGAUUACAUAAGAUAGAUCACCGCAUGAAUCGCAGUGAUCAUGGCAACAAAGAACAUAGAGAGAUAGAUAGCUAUCUAGGUACUAAUUACGACCCCGUAGGUCUAUGGUGAACUACUCACACAUCACCAUGCGAGCGGCAAGGAUGAUGUAGAGGCCCUUCGUGAUCGACCCCCCCUCCGACAAGACAUCAAAACAGGGCUCCAGAUGGGCACGGGGCAGAACAUAAGCUCACGGGGGCGGAAACAGUGUUUCGGGAGGCUCCACAGGGGUUUGGGAAUAUAUGUGAAUUUAUAGGUGAUGUUUCAAAAGGAUCCCCGGCAAUGGCGCAGGAAUGCUUCUGAUGUCCGUUAUGCUGCUGCACAAAAGACCUUCCACUGGCGCCGGAAAUGGGCACGUUGAUGACACCAGGAAUCCUUCUGCGUUGGUGUUCCCUCGAAGCGGAGAGGAUGAUGUAGCACAAUGGAGGUAAGUAUUUCCCUCAGUUUGAGAACCAAGGUACCAAUCCGGCGGAGGAGUAUCUCAAGAUCCUGCACAAACACAAAAGCUUGCACCCAACGCUAUGAAGGGGUUGUCAAUCCCUUAUAGAUUGUUGCCAAGUGAGAACUGAAAGCAAAAAAGUAACAAAGCAAAGUAAAAGAGGAGUUGUAAACGAUGGAUGUGAAUAGACUCGGGAGCCGUAGUGUUCACUAGUGGCUUCUCUCAUGAAAGCAAGUAGACGGUGGGUGAACAAAUUACUGUCGAGCAAUUGAUAGAACUGUGAAGAGUCGUCACGAUAUCUAUGCAAUGAUUAUUUCUAUAGGCAUCAUGUCCGAAACAAGUAGACCGAUACUUUCUGCAUCUACUACUAUUACUCCACACGUCGACCGCUAUCCAGCGUGCAUCAAGUGUAUUAAGUCCGUAAGAACAGAGUAACGCCUUAAGCAAGAUGACAUGAUGUAGAGGGAUAAUCUCAAACCAAUGAUAAAACCCCCAUCUUUUUUACCCUUGAUGGCAACUGCUUGAUGUGUGCAUUGCUGCCCCUACUGUCACUGGGAAAGGUCACCACAUGGCAGAACCCAAAACAAAGCACUUCUCCCAUUGCAAGAAUCAUAGAUCUAGUUGCUCAAACAAAACCCAAGACUUGGAGAGACUUACAAGGAUAUCAAAUCAUGCAUAUAAGAAAUCAGCAAAGACUCAAAUAUAUAUCAUAGAUAAUCUGAUCACAAGUCCACAAUUCAUCGGAUCUCGACAAACGCACCGCCAAAGAAGAUUACAUCAGAUAGAUCUCCAUGAAGAUCAUGGAGAACUUUGUAUUGAAGAUCCAAGAGAGAGAAGAAGCCAUCUAGCUACUAACUACNGUAGUGUACCGUGGCAAUAAUCUAGCAUGGCAUAGACAUCAAUGGAAACAUCAUGCUAGCUAUAUUACGAUCGUGCAAAGGCAAUGUAGACGUGGUGGCACAUGUCAUGGUGGUAGUUGCAUGGCAAUAUAUCUCGGAAUGACUUUGAAAAAGCCAUAAUAGGUAGGUAUGGUGGCUGUUUUGAGGGAGGCUAAUGGUGGGUUUUGUGCACCGGUGAAAGUUGCGCGGCACUAAGAAGAUGGUGAUGGUGGAAGGUGAAAGUGCAUCUAAACCAUGAACUCAACAUUAGUCAUGAAGAACUCAUAUACUUGUUGCAAAAGUUUUAUUAGUAAUCGAAACAAAGCAUUCAACGCAUACUCCUAGGGGAAGGGUUGGUAGGUAUAAACCAUCGCGCGAUCCCGACCGCCACGCAAAGGAUGACAAUCAAUAUACUAAUCUUGCUCAGAUUUCAUCACAUAGCGGUUCACCAUGCGUGCAUGCUACGGGAAUCACUAACUUCAACACAAGUAUUUCUUGAUCCACAACACCUUACUAGCAUGACUUCAAUAUUACCAUAACCACAACUCAAAACUAAUUGAGAUGAAUCAAACUUCCCUAACUAUUCAAUGCACAUGAAGGUGGAAGUUUUUGUAUCCCUUUGGAUAACUACCCCUUUUGAGACUACUUUCAAAGCAUAGAUCAACUACCAAGCCACGCACCACUGUGCUCUAAAAGAUAUAAGUGAAGCACAUAGAACAAAAGUAUCUAGCUCAAAAGAUAUAAGUGAAGCACAUGUGUGCUGAAUUGUUUAACCAAAGGAUAUAAGUGAAGCUCGACAAAAUCAUGGUGAGUGCAUGUCUCUCUCUCUAGGUGUGCAGCAAGGAUGAUUGUGACACAACAAAAAUAAAAGACUCCUACGAUACAAGACGCUCCAAGCAAAAACACAUAACAUGUGGUGAAUAAAAAUAUAGCCCCAAGUAACGUUACCGAUGGAUUGAAGACGAGAGAGGGGAUGCCUUCCCGGGGCAUCCCCAAGCUUAGGCAUUUACGACAUCCUUGAAUCUCUUGGGGUGACUUGGGCAUCCCCAAGCUUGAGCUCUUGCCACUCUUUAUCUUUUUGUCCAUAAGAACUUCACCCAAAACUUGAAAACUUCACAACACGAAACUUAAACAGAAACUCGUGAUAACAUUAGUACAAGAAAGCAAACCACCACUUCCUUAAGUACUGUAGUGAACUUAAAUUCUACUUGUGCUGACGUUGGGUUACUGUACUUUCAAUCUUCCGUGGCUAAUACCCCCCGAUACUAUCCAUAGUUUCAUCAAAAUAAGCAACUAACACAACAAAAACAAAAUUUGUUAACAACAAACCAGUUUGUAGCAAUUCGUAUGUUUCGUAUGCCUGUGGUACUUAAAAAAUUCUGAACAGUUACGGCAGUCUGUAGAAUUUGCUCCGAAAUCAGCAGAAAAAAGAAUCAACUCAAAAGAUCUUAUGGAGAAAAAAUGAAAAUUCUUUUCGUGAGAAGAAAGUUUCUGUCUUUCCUAGCAUGACCAAACGAUCAUCCUCAAGACUAAUCAUAACGGUUUUGCUUGGCACAAACGCAAAAAGAAACACAAAAAACACAAUCAUAACAGAAUUAUGAAAGUGUGGAAAACACAAAACAGAAAGAAAAAGGAUAGAUUCGUUGGGUUGCCUCCCAACAAGCGCUUUUGUUUAACGCCCUUAGCUAGGCAUUCAAUGAUGCUCUCACAAAAGACAAGAAUUGAAGCACAACGAGAGCAUCCUAAAGUAUGUGAAAACCACAUCUAAGUCUAACUUACUUCCUAUGCAUAGGCAUUUUAUAGGAAAAUAGAUUGUCAAGACAACCAAUAGUUGCCAUAUGCAAGGAAGAAGAAAGAGACAAUAGCAAUCUCAACAUAAUGAGAGGUAUUUUGGUAACAUGAAAGUUUCCAUCACAAUAUUUUCCUCUCUCAUAGCAAUUACAUGUGGGAUUAUAUUCAAAUUCAACAAUAUAGCUAUCCCAUAGGAUAUUCUUUUCAUGAUCCACAUGCAUGCAAAGUUGACGCUCUUAAAAAAUAGUGGGAUUAUCAUCAUGCAAAGUCAUGAAGUCUCCAAACACACUUCCAAUAUUAUUGCAAAUAUCAUAUUCAUCAUGGGGUUUGAACAAAUUUUCAAGAUCAUAAGAAAUAUCAUCACCCCAAUCAUGAUUAUUGCAACAAGUAGUGGUCAAAGCAAAACUAGCAUCCCCAAGCUUAGGGUUUUGCAUAUUUUUAGCAUGAUUUUCACUAAUAGGAUUUACAGUGAAACCAUUGCAAUCAUGCUUUUCAUCCAAGGAGCCCUCGUGAAUCACUUCAUGAAUUUCUUCAUCACGAUUUUCAGACUCAUGCAUCUCAAGCAAAACUCCAUAAAAAUAAUCAAUUGCCCUCACGAAGAUGCAAGCAUAUUGAAGGCAUAUGGCACACAAACGAACAGAAAGCAAGCGAGAGAAAAGACAAACGAAAAAGGCGAAAGAAAAAGGUAAAGGAGAAAGGCAAAUGAAAACGACAAAUGUGAAGUGGGGGAGAGGAAAACGAGAGGCAACUGGCAACAAAAGUAAAUGCAAGAGAAGAGUUUGUGAGACCUACUUGGAUAGAUCUUGAUUUCUCCUCCCCGGCAACGGCGCCAGAAAUACUUCUGAUGUUUCAAAAGGAUCCCCGGCAAUGGCGCAGGAAUGCUUUUGAUGUACGUUAUGCUGCUGCACAAAAGACCUUCUAGUGGCGCCAGAAAUGGGCACGUUGACGACACCAGGAAUCCUUCUGCGUUGGUGUUCCCUCAAAGCGGAGAGGAUGAUGUAGCACAGCGGAGGUAAGUAUUUCCCUCAGUUUGAGAACCAAGGUAUCAAUCCGGCAGAGGAGUAUCUCAAGAUCCUGCACAAACACAAAAUCUUGCACCCAACGCUAUGAAGGGGUUGUCAAUCCCUUAUAGAUUGUUUGCCAAGUGAGAACUGAAAGCAAAAAAGUAACAAAGCAAAGUAAAAGUGGAGUUGUAAACGAUGGAUGUGAAUAGACCCGGGGGCCGUAGUGUUUACUAGUGGCUUCUCUCAUGAAAGCAAGUAGACGGUGGGUGAACAAAUUACCGUCGAGCAAUUGAUAGAACUGUGCAGAGUCGUGUUGAUAUCUAUGCAAUGAUUAUUUCUAUAGGCAUCACGUCCGAAACAAGUAGACCGAUACUUUCUGCAUCUACUACUAUUACUCCACACGUCGACCGCUAUCCAACAUGCAUCUAGUAUAUUAAGUCCGUAAGAACAGAGUAACGCCAUAAGCAAGAUGACAUGAUGUAGAGGGAUAAUCUCAAACCAAUGAUAAAAACCCCAUCUUUUUACCCUUGAUGGCAACUGCUUGAUGUGUGCCUUGCUGCCCCUACUGUCACUGGGAAAGGUCACCACAUGGCAGAACCAAAAACCAGGCACUUCUCCCAUUGCAAGAAUCAUAGAUCUAGUUGGCCAAAAAAAACCCAAGACUCAGAGAGACUUACAAGGAUAUAAAAUCAUGCAUAUAAGAAAUCAGCAAAGACUCAAAUAUAUAUCAUAGAUAAUCUGAUCACAAGUCCACAAUUCAUCGGAUCUCGACAAACACACCGCCAAAGAAGAUUACAUCGGAUAGAUCUCCAUGAAGAUCAUGAAUAACUUUGUAUUGAAGAUCCAAUAGAGAGAAAAAGCCGUCUAGCUACUAACUACGGACCCGUAGGUCUGAAGUGAACUACUCACGAGUCAUUGGAGGGGCGAUGAUGAUGAUGAAGAAGCCCUCCAACUCCAAAGUCCCCUCCGGCAGGGCACCGGGAAGGGUCUCCAGAUGAGAUCUUGCGGAAACGGAAGCUUGCGGCGGCGGAAAAGUAUUUUCGAGGCUUCCCUGAUUUUUUGCGGAAUAUUUGGGAAUUUAUAGGCCAAAGACCUAGGUCAGGGGGUGGCCAGGGAGGCCACAAGCCUGCCCACCGCCGCCUCCCCCCUGGUGGCGGAGUGGGGGCUUGUGGGCUCCCUGGAGCCCACCUGGCUUGGCCCAAAAGCCCCGUGGACUUCUUUCGUUCGGGAAAAAAUCAUUUCGGGGUUUUCUUCCGUUUGGACUCCGUUCCAAAAUCAGAUCUGAAAUGAGUCAAAAACACGGAAAAAACAGGAACUGGCACUUGGCACUGAAUUAAUAAGUUAGUCCCAAAAAGAUAUAAAAAGGUACAUAAAACAUACAAAGAAGGCAAGAUAACAGCGUGAAACGAUCAAAAAUUAUAGAUGCGUUUGAGACGUAUCAGUAGUCCAGAGAACGGGAGUCGGAGAGAUGGGAGGUGGCCUCAAGCCAUAAGGGUGCAACCCCCCCCCCGACGCUCCCUAUUGGCUUGGGGGCGCAUCAUAUGCCCAUCGGUCUUCCUUCGAAGCUUAUAGGUCUUUAUUUGGUCCGAGAAAAUCAUCAAAAAGUUUCGUGGUAUUUGAACUUCGUUUCGUACAAUAUUACUCGUAAGCCAAAAACAUGCAGAAAACAAAAACUGGCACUUGGCACUGGGUUAAUAGGUUAGUGCUCAAAAAUAAAAAAAUCGACAAGUAAAUGCCUAAAAAGCAUCCUAGAAUGAUAAUAUAAUAGCAUGGAACUACAAAAAAUUAUAGAUACGUUGGAGACAUAUCAGUAUCCCCAAGCUUAAUUCCUGCUCGUCCUCAAGUAGGUAAAUGAUAAAAACAUAAUUUUUGAUGUGGGAGGCUAUCCAACAUGUAAUUUCUUGCACGCAUGAUCAUUGAUAAAUGAUGAACCAACUAACAUUAACGUAGUAAUAUCCAUAAACAUAAGUAACAUAAUCAUCAAUUUUCAAAAUAUAUGAUCCUUAAAAAUGUUUACCUCCAUUCAUUUUAUCAUAUUAGCAUGGCAUGGCCCCGUCUUCACCACAUAAGUACAAAUGUCAAGCACCACGGUGUUAAGCCAAGCAAUUGGGUCAUACUUUUAAACGCGCUUCACCUUUUUAUACCUCAUUUGGUACAUGAGCAUGAAAGGACAUAGCAUAUAGGUGCAAUAGAAUAUGGUGAUAUGUUUCAAAGGGGUAAAAUUGGAGAAGAAAGUCUCGCAUCAACUAGGUGGAUCAAUGGGCUAUGGAGAUGUGGAAGUUCGUUAUAUCGACUAGAGGGGUGAAUAGGCAAUUUUUACAAAUUCAUCACCGAGGAAAUUUGUAGUGAGGAAAGUCCUCAGUCAUGAACUGAGUGCAGCGGAAAUAGUACUUAGACAAAUGUGCAAAAGUGACUAAAGCAAAGUACUUAGAGUGAAUUGAUAGGUUUGGUUUGCACAAGUCACUUAUAUAGGAUAAGCAGGUGAUGAAUAACUCAGGUGAAGAAUUUGAGGUGAGGAAUUAGGAGAAAAUCUUCAGUCAAAUUCUUCAAACAGUACAAAUGAAAGUCUUCAACGUACAAUUGAGGAAAUGAAAAGAAUUGAAGAAAUAGAACCAGUAGCUCGAUGAAGGCAGUGGUUGAUGACCCAGUUCCAACUGUUGUGACAGUUGAACGUCUAGUUUGGAGCGGCUUGGUAUUGAAACCAAAGGACACAUAGUCUCGGGACACACAGUCCCUACCGUAUUCUCCUUGAGCUAAGGAUACACAGUCCUCGCCCAACAGUCGUGGUAAGUCUUCACGGCAGACUUCCAAACCCUCACAAACUUGGUCACCCGGCCAUCUGAUACGUCCAUUUUGCAUCAUGCUUUCAUGUUGAUAUUUANNNNNNNNNNNNNNNNNNNNNNNNNNNNNNNNNNNNNNNNNNNNNNNNNNNNNNNNNNNNNNNNNNNNNNNNNNNNNNNNNNNNNNNNNNNNNNNNNNNNAGGAAUUUCCUCAGUGAUGAAAUUCUAAAAAUCUCCUAUUCACCCCCCUCUAGUCGAUAUAACGCACUUUCACCUUGUCCAAAACUUCAUGUGCCUCAUGCAACGCUUUUCAUAAGGAUUUUUCCAAUGAAAUACAUGCGUUCUUCAUAGAAUGCUUCUUUCUAAAACUUUGGCCGCUUGGAGAAUGGCUGAUGCUGCAUAGGUUGAAGAUUUUGCUGCUUCCCUUGAGGAGAGACAAUCAUGACAGUCUUCGGAUUGACAACCACAAUAGUAGUUUCUGUAUUUGGCGCAGGGGCAUUUUCUUCAGCAUGUUCUUCAGGAUAAGGAAUUUCAUCAGUCUGUCUCAGGUUGAGGAUUUUGCUCCGAGUGAGAAUUUUCUUCAGCCCGAGCUUCUGGUUGAGGUUUUUUCUCAGGAGGAGGAAUCUCUUCAUGCUGAGCCUCAGGUUGAGGGUUUUGCUCAGGAUUUGGAUUUUCUUCAGGCUUAGGAUCUUCUCCUUGGUUUUCCUCAGCUUGAGAAGUUUGCUUGGAGGAGGAGCCAAUUUUUUUAGCUGUUGCAGCUGAUCCUUGAGCAGGUUCUUUAGGAGGAAUGAAUAUCUGAGGACUGUCAUCAAUUUGAAUUUCCUCAUCAGUGUGUUCCUCAGACUCAGCAGUUUUCAUUUCCUCAUCAGUCAGAUGCUCCUUAUCUUCGCUCUCGAAGGGAAUCAUGGCAUAUGAUGGAGCAAUCUUGAGAGGCACAACAUCCAAAAGAACAUUUUCAUCAAGAGAUUUGAGACGCUUUGCCUUUGUUGAUUCUGGUGUUGAAGAAGCUUUUCUUUUCUUAGCUUCCUUUUCUGCAGCCCUCGUUUUCUUCACGUCUGAUGCAGACGGAGUCAUUUUCUUCACCUUUGAGGAUUUUGGUGAAGACAUUUUCUCUUCAGGAGUCGGAGCCGUAUCCGUCCUGGUAGUUUCCUCAGCUGAAGCAGAUUCAUCAGCUGGCUUAGAUGCAUCAGCUGGAAUUUCGUUGGAUAUUUCCUCAAUAGCCGGUGCAUCAGCACGGUUUUCUUGAGGCAUUUCCUCAGCAGGGGUGGGUUGUUCUUCCUCUAUCUCAGGCUGCUGUGGUGUUGCUGGAGGGGCAACCUUUUUUGUUGUAAUCAUCAACUGCGCUGGUUGCAAACUUGAUGAAAUUGUUCUUGAGACUUUGACGAUCAGAUAGCUUGGUAUACUUAUCUGUCAAAGUCUUCAAUUCUGCCUGGGUUGACACAAGAGCAUCAUGCGUCAGGCUGAGGAGAUUUUUUCUGAGGAAUUUCUCCUUCUUCAGCUUUGCAGCCUUUGCUUGUUUGGCUUGCGUCUCCUUCCACUUGGCCUCGUUGAUGAAUGUGGCCACCAUGUGGCUGAUGCCCGGGGGAAGCUUCAAGUCAUCAAUGGGUGUGUUAGGGUCAUCAUACCACACAUUGAUGUAGUCCAACAGGUCUUUUGGAUCCAUGGCUAGAGGAAUGACGCUGCCUGAAGCUUGAGCGAGCCGCUCCAGCUUGUUUCUGAUGAUGGCUUGCAGUGUCUCAUCAUCAUAUUCAUCACUUCCUUCUGAUGCAAAAGGGACUUUGAUGACAUUGCUUGGGCUGGGUAUGGUUCCUCUGUAGCAGUCAUCUUAGUCCUCAAUGGAGUUGGUGAGGACUUUGUCUCAGAGCUCGUUGCCGAAGGAACAAAGGAGUUGGAGACAAUAGGCAGUUGCUUCACAAUCUGCUUGUGUUCAGCCUUUGAGGCCUGUUUGGUUGUUUAGGGUUUUGGAACAGAAGCAGGUGCAGCCUUCUGAAGCAAUUUCUCCCGAGGCUUUGAAGCCUUUCAUUUCUGUGGCACAUGCUUCACUUGAGGAAUGGCCGCGCCAGAAGUUUCAGCAGCUGAGGAAGUGGCUGCGGCAACAGCAGCAGUAGAUUCUUCAUUGAAUUUCCUCACAACGGUUUCUGCUUGUUUCUGAAGCUUUGACAAAUGUUUGGUCUUUUCCUUAGAAUAAUCAUCAAUCGUCUUGAUACUUGAAGGAUGGGCAUCCUGAUGAUCCUUGAGAGGAGGCCUUUUUCCAGGUGGCUUAAGAGCGAAUUUCUUCGCGUACUUUGGAGUGACGAAUAUGUAUUCCUUCCACUCCUUAGCCCACCGAUGCUCUAUCUUUUGGAGCCUUAUUUUCCUCUUGGGCAUUGUUUCUUGCUCAUCUGGUGUGCAGUAUUCCAAGUAUAUAUCCUCAGGGAUAUCAAUGGCAAUGUUCUGCUCGAGCUUCUUGCCACCCUUUUGCUUCCUUUCAUCUUCCAUUUUCUUCAGCUGAGUCUUUUGCUGAGGAAAUUGAACUCUUGAGGAUUCUGAUAACACUUGUAGAUUUUCUUCAAGAAACGCUGCAAAUGAGUUAAGUUGAUGAGAACCUAGAGAUUCAUCAGCGGACAUUUUUGUACCUGUGAACAGCGUAUAGUUGCGAGGAAUUCUGAGAGGUCAUAUGCGUUCUUAGAUUUGAAGAAAUUGAAUUUUUUUAAAGUUGAGGAAUUUGACCAGUGGGUUGAGGAAUUUGGCUAAGCACUCUGAUCUUGGGUUCCAGAGUUGUACAGAUUCGAAAAUUUGCACAAUUGAGGAAUCACGUGAAGAAUUUUAGUUGCUUAGUGAAAUUCAUCAAGUAAUCGAGGAAUCAGCAGUGUUUGAGGAAUAGAGACUGAUAGACACUGAGGAAAAACAGAUUCCACAAAUCUAAGGUAAAAUAGUAGAUUGAAAGGGAAUGUAAAAAUAGGAUUUUAUUUACCCUAUAUAGCACGCACGAAGAACAGAAGAAGUAGCAGUAGAUGCUCUUCGGUGCGAGUCCACUGCGCCCUAACUUGACUACAGAGGACGGCUACGGUGGCGGCGGACGAAGACGUUCCAGUUCCGGCGUGAU